CGGGCUAUAGCGCAGUUUGGUAGCGCGCUUCGUUCGGGACGAAGAGGCCGCGGGUUCAAAUCCCGCUAGCCCGAC
rnacentral:tRNA from 1 species